GAUGAACGCUGGCGGCGUGCCUAAUACAUGCAAGUCGAGCGAACGGACGAGAAGCUUGCUUCUCUGAUGUUAGCGGCGGACGGGUGCGUAACACGUGGAUAACCUACCUAUAAGACUGGGAUAACUUCGGGAAACCGUAGCUAAUACCGGAUAAUAUUUUGAACCGCAUGGUUCAAAAGUGAAAGACGGUCUUGCUGUCACUUAUAGAUGGAUCCGCGCUGCAUUAGCUAGUUGGUAAGGUAACGGCUUACCAAGGCAACGAUGCAUAGCCGACCUGAAAGGGUGAUAGGCCACACGGGAACAGAGACACGGUACAGACUCCUACGGGAGGCAGCGGUAGGGAAUCUUCCGCGAUGGACGAAAGCCUGACGGAGCAACACCGCGUAAGUGAUGAAGGUCUUCGGAUCGGAAAGCGCUGUUAUUAGGGAAGAACAUAUGUGUAAGUAACUGUGCACAUCUUGACGGUACCUAAUCAGAAAGCCACGGCUAACUACGUG
rnacentral:rRNA from 1 species